GACGAACGCUGGCGGCGUGCUUAACACAUGCAAGUCGAACGGUAAGGCUCCAGCUUGCUGGGGUACACAAGUGGCGAACGGGUGAGUAACACGUGGGUGACCUGCCCUGCACUUCGGGAUAAGCCUGGGAAACUGGGUCUAAUACCGGAUAGGACCAUGGUGUGGAUACUGUGGUGGAAAGUUUUUUCGGUGUGGGAUGGGCCCGCGGCCUAUCAGCUUGUUGGUGGGGUAAUGGCCUACCAAGGCGGCGACGGGUAGCCGGCCUGAGAGGGUGGACGGCCACAUUGGGACUGAGACACGGCCCAGACUCCUACGGGAGGCAGCAGUGGGGAAUAUUGCACAAUGGGCGGAAGCCUGAUGCAGCGACGCCGCGUGGGGGAUGACGGCCUUCGGGUUGUAAACUCCUUUCACCAUCGACGAAGGGUUUCUGACGGUAGAUGGAGAAGAAGCACCGGCUAACUACGUG
rnacentral:rRNA from 1 species